GAGCUCAGCCCCGCUGUCGUGAGGGUCUGUAACGCCGCGGGGCCGGAGCACGGAGCAAGACGCGUGGAAGGAGCUGGCGUUUCGAACCGAAGACAGAGACGCAGCACGUAGCGUGUCAUCAGAUGGCACGAGGAUAGGACAAAAAUCCUGCAGUGUUUGGUUACACAUAAACCAAAGCUGGCAGCACAUCCCUGCCCAACCAGGAAGGUGUGAUGCAGUGAGCACGACUCCACCACAGCAGAGGACACGCGGGCUGCUCCAAAUACGGUGCAAAGUGCCACAGGCAUGGAACUGGAUUGCUUUAGAAUAGUUGACAAUUAGUAGACAUGUUAAUAUAAAAUACUCCAAAGUGAAAUUACUGAUUAACAUAAGAAUGGUCUGACACUGCAGUUUUCCAGUUACGUUCUCAAAACCAGGAGAAAUACCAAGAGAUUGGAUAGUCCUAUCUGAAGACUGAUUUAACUACAUGCUAUGCCAUCCUAUUUAUAAGAGGCUCUUGAUGCUGAAAAUUCCCUUGGCAACCUUAGUACUUCAAUAGUUAACUGUUAGUAGAUCUCAACAAGAGCAACCACUGGGUUUCUUUUUCAAAACAGCCUUAACUUUUAUGUGAAGAAACUAUGUGAAGACAUCCUCAUAACAUCAGUCACCUCUGUGAUUAAUGCAUUAUGAAAAGGGUAUUAGGAAUAUUAAGAAUUUACUAGCUCUUGAAUCUGAGCGAUCUACUUUGUUAAGCAGUCUUCCUUCCUUCAGGGCUUUGAUCAAUUACAUUCAUCAGGCCUUGUUCAGAAGAUGCUUGUGUUCUGUACUUCCAUACUCACUGGAAAAUGCCGUGUUAUUCCAUUUGGGGAGCAGGAUGCAACUGCUAACAGCCCCUUCCUCAGAAAAUAUCACUGUACAGCUUCAAGAGUCUUCUGAGACCAUCCACACCACGUUCAUUACAUAUACAAACUUAGAAAAAAAAACUCACCAAACAACUGUGAAACAAAAAGGAAGCUGCUGGUUUUAUAAAAUAAGCUAAAGAAGAAGGAAAGCCAGCCUUGGUGUUAAGCAAUUUUCAGAAACGAACGAUGGAAAACCAGUGCUAUCGCUUUCCUUCCACUCUGAGUUGCUCAGUCCCAGCCCUUGCUGCAGGUCAUAAAGCUACAGUCUGAUAACUGGCUGCAAAUAAAACGCUUUUCAUGUUACUUCAUAAACAACACCUUAGUCUGACUGGUUUGAGGUUCUCCCUUGCACAGAUUAUACGGUCACUGAUUGCAAUGAUCGCUGCACUUUACCAUGUUGACACACUAAGCCUUGUAAACAUGCACAGUAAUCUAUAAAGUCAAAAUUAAUUUAGUUUUACUUCAGCCUAGGUAUCAACUUGUUCAUGUAUUGCAAAAUGCAUUCUUUUUUAUUUAAUAAGGUACUAUCCAGAGUCAGAAGUUAACGUCCAGCUAUUGUCUCUAAGCUAUUAAUUCACUGUUUUCUACAUUCUGUACCACUGAUGCUUAUUCCAGUCCUCUUGGGACCAUCCAGUGCUGAACUCUCCCUUCUCAGGAAGUGGAAAGGAAAAUAGGCUGUGCACUAUUCUUGGGUCCUUGGUGGCGUUUCUCAGAGCUUGCUUGUACUGCUCCCCUCUACCCGUGCAGCUGAGUGGGCUUGGUUCAAUUGCAGUGUGCUUGGCAGCCCGCCGAGGGUCAGGAUGCACCUGCUGACUUGCAGCAUGUGACACUUCCUUGAGCUGAAGGUUCCAACUUGGCACCGCUCUCAGAGAAUGUUUCAUGUAACAAUACACUGUUGUUCUUUGAAUCUCAGUUUACACAUAGCUCUACAGGUUCACCAGCAUAUUAAAAAAUGGCACUGCUGAUUAACUCGAUUGUCCCUGUGUGCUGUGAAGAGUGUCAUUUGCAUCUCGUGGAAGAGAACAAAGAAACUAAAGUGAAAGAUGUUAAGAGAUGUACCAACAAGCCUUCUCAAUAAAUGCAAUAAAAACAAGUUUAUGCUUGUUCAGAGGUAUUUAACCACAAGUAUCUGGUAAUUGGAUCGUUAUGUUAUUUUGUCUACCUGAAAGAUCAUCAACUGAAUUUGUAUUGAAAGAUACAGCUAGCAAGCUGGCAUGUAGAAUGAUUCAAAAUACCAACCUUCAGGAGUAAAAAAUAUAUGAGCAGUGGAAGACCAGUAAUAGCAAAUCGGCCUUUACUGGUUUAACAUCUCCCCCAGAUAACUUUGCACCACUUGUUCAGUGCUCUUCUUAAGAAACCUUCUGUCUUCUUCAGAAUGCCUUCUGAAAAGCCUAAAAGCAUCAAACAGGUAUAUCUGAAAAUCAUCUACCAAAAAUUAGGCAUUUGCAGUGUCACUCCUGAUAUGAGCUCAUAUGUCCCAGAAGCAAAAUCCUUACGUUUCAGGAAAAAUAUCUUUUCUCUACAAUUUUAGAACAUUUGACCAGAUGAUUUCUGGUUCUGUUGGUGACUCACGUACAACCCUCAUGUUAAGCUGUCAGCACUACAGGAAAGCCACACUUUAACCUCUGGUAAGAGUGUCAGGGUUCUGAAAGCAGCAUUUGCAUUUUCAGUGCCAUGCCAAGUUGAACUGGGCACCACCUAAGCCGAAAGGAAAAAAAAAAAAAAAAA